rnacentral:rRNA from 1 species
AAACUUAAAGGAAUUGACGGGGGCUCACACAAGCGGUGGAGCAUGUGGCUUAAUUCGAGGCUACGCGAAGAACCUUAUCCUGGACUUGACAUGUGCGAAAGCGCCAGCAGGUAGAACACGGAAACGUGAACGAACGGUAUCCAAUCCGGAAGCUGGUACGGGUGCUGCAUGGCUGUCGUCAGCUCGUGUCGUGAGAUGUCGGGUUAAGUCCCAUAACGAGCGAAACCCUUACCUUUAGUUGCUACCCGCAAGGGGCACUCUAGAGGGACUGCCGGUGUCAAACCGGAGGAAGGUGGGGAUGACGUCAAGUCCUCAUGGCCUUUAUGUCCAGGGCUGCACACGUGCUACAAUGCCGUGAACAAAGCGACGCGACCACGCGAGUGGAAGCUAAUCGCAAAAACACGGCCCAGUUCAGAUCGGAUGGCUGCAACUCGCCUCCGUGAAGCCGGAAUCGCUAGUAAUCGCGGGUCAGCAACACCGCGGUGAAUGUGUUCCUGAGCCUU